rnacentral:misc_RNA from 1 species
AGCAGCCGCGGUAAUUCCAGCUCCAAUAGCGUAUAUUAAAGUUGUUGCAGUUAAAAAGCUCGUAGUUGAAUUUCGGGGUCAGUAGGUCGGUCGUGCCACUGGUAUGAACUGGUUUUACUGAUUCCUCCCUCUUGAAGAACUGUAAUGCCAUUAAUUUGGUGUUGCAGGGAAUCAGGACUGUUACUUUGAAAAAAUUAGAGUGUUUAAAGCAGGCUUUAGCUUGAAUACAUUAGCAUGGAAUAAUGAAAUAGGACGUUUGAUCCUAUUUUGUUGGUUUCUAGGAUUGACGUAAUGAUUAAUAGGGAUAGUUGGGGGCAUUAGUAUUCAAUUGUCAGAGGUGAAAUUCUUGGAUUUAUUGAAGACUAACUACUGCGAAGGCAUUUGCCAAGGAUGUUUUCAUUAAUCAAGAACGAAAGUUAGGGGAUCGAAGACGAUCAGAUACCGUCGUAGUCUUAACCAUAAACUAUGCCGACUAGGGAUCGGAUGAUGUUAAUUUUUUAAUGACUCAUUCGGCGCCUUA